AUAGUUAUGGUUACAAAAUUCUACUGCUAUUAAAUUCUUCUUAACUUUAUUCUCGGUGUACUAUAUUCUAAAACUUUCUCAUUUUUGGUGCAUUCAUAGUGACUAAGAAUAUGUAAUUUUUUAAAAUGCAAGUAUUCAAUUUUUUCGGUUAAUUUUGGAAAGGAAUAUAUCUUGAUAAAUAUUCUUUAUGAAUAUUUAAUAACAUUUAUGAUGCUCUUUAUUUAUCUUCUUAAGGAUUAAAUUUUAAAUUUUAUGAAUUCAUAAUUUAUCAUGAUUGUUUGAUUUUUAAGGCAAUAAUUUAAUUUUAAUUUGGACUGACUUUAAUUACGGGAUCUCUCUUAUUGGAUGUUCAUUAUUUAUCUUUAUUAGUUUUAAUUGUAUUAGUUACGUUUUAAAUUGUGAUUGAAUAAAUAUUCUUUAUGAAUAUUUAGUACCAUUUAUGGGGGUCAUUAUUGAUGACAUUUUAUGCCUAUAAUGGCUUUUAGUGCCAUUUUUAUGGCUUAUUUAACCAUUUUGAUGGUCAUUGCAUUUAAUAUAUUUAAUUACGUGUUAACUUC
rnacentral:lncRNA from 1 species